rnacentral:rRNA from 1 species
CACGUAGGGCGCAAGCGUUGUCCGGAAUUAUUGGGCGUAAAGAGCUCGUAGGCGGUCUGUUGCGUCCGCUGUGAAAACUCGGGGUUUAACCCCGAGCCUGCAGUGGAUACGGGCAGACUAGAGGUAGGUAGGGGAGAAUGGAAUUCCCGGUGUAGCGGUGAAAUGCGCAGAUAUCGGGAGGAACACCGGUGGCGAAGGCGGUUCUCUGGGCCUUACCUGACGCUGAGGAGCGAAAGCGUGGGGAGCGAACAGG